rnacentral:rRNA from 1 species
GGGUCAGUAGGUUGGGCGUGCCACCGGUACGUACUGGUCUCACUGAUUCCUCCUUCCUGACGAACCGUAAUGCCAUUAAUUGGGUGUUGCGGGGAAACAGGACUGUUACUUUGAAAAAAUUAGAGUGUUUAAAGCAAGCUAACGCUUGAAUACAUUAGCAUGGAAUAAUGAAAUAGGACGAUCGAUCCUAUUUUGUUGGUUUCUAGGAUUGACGUA